rnacentral:rRNA from 1 species
UGGGGAAUAUUGCACAAUGGGCGCAAGCCUGAUGCAGCCAUGCCGCGUGUGUGAAGAAGGCCUUCGGGUUGUAAAGCACUUUCAGCGGGGAGGAAGGCGAUAAGGUUAAUAACCUUGUCGAUUGACGUUACCCGCAGAAGAAGCACCGGCUAGCUCCGUGCCAGCAGCCGCGGUAAUACGGAGGGUGCAAGCGUUAAUCGGAAUUACUGGGCGUAAAGCGCACGCAGGCGGUCUGUCAAGUCGGAUGUGAAAUCCCCGGGCUCAACCUGGGAACUGCAUUCGAAACUGGCAGGCUAGAGUCUUGUAGAGGGGGGUAGAAUUCCAGGUGUAGCGAUGAAAUGCGUAGAGAUCUGGAGGAAUACCGGUGGCGAAGGCGGCCCCCUGGACAAAGACUGACGCUCAGGUGCGAAAGCGUGGGGAGCAAACAGG